rnacentral:tRNA from 1 species
GGGCGCAUAGCUCAGCGGGAGAGCACUGCCUUCACACGGCAGGGGNNGGGUCGUAGGUUCAAUCCCUACUGCGCCCACCA